rnacentral:rRNA from 1 species
AUUGAACGCUGGCGGCAUGCCUUACACAUGCAAGUCGAACGGUAACAGGUCUUCGGAUGCUGACGAGUGGCGAACGGGUGAGUAAUACAUCGGAACGUGCCUAGUAGUGGGGGAUAACUACUCGAAAGAGUGGCUAAUACCGCAUGAGAUCUACGGAUGAAAGCAGGGGAUCGCAAGACCUUGUGCUACUAGAGCGGCCGAUGGCAGAUUAGGUAGUUGGUGGGAUAAAAGCUUACCAAGCCGACGAUCUGUAGCUGGUCUGAGAGGACGAUCAGCCACACUGGGACUGAGACACGGCCAAGACUCCUACGGGAGGCAGCAGUGGGGAAUUUUGGACAAUGGGAGAAAGCCUGAUCCAGCAAUGCCGCGUGCAGGAUGAAGGCCUUCGGGUUGUAAACUGCUUUUGUACGGAACGAAAAGCCCCGGGUUAAUACCCUGGGGUCAUGACGGUACCGUAAGAAUAAGCACCGGCUAACUACGUGCCAGCAGCCGCCGUAA